GUAGGGAAUAUUGGGCAAUGGAUGCAAGUCUGACCCAGCCAUCCCGCGUGCCGGAAGAAGGCCCUCAGGGUUGUAAACGGCUUUUGACGGUGAAGAAUCGACAGGAUGCGUCCUGUUUUGACGGUAGCCGUUGAAUAAGCACCGGCUAACUCCGUGCCAGCAGCCGCGGUAAUACGGAGGGUGCGAGCGUUGUCCGGAUUUAUUGGGUUUAAAGGGUGCGUAGGCUGGAAGGUCAGUCAGCGGUGAAAAGCUGUCGCUUAACGAUAGUCUUGCCGCAGAUACUUCCGUUCUUGGAUGAGGAGGAGGCCACUGGAACGGAUGGUGUAGCGGUGAAAUGCAUAGAUAUCAUCCAGAACACCGAUUGCGAAGGCAGGUGGCUGUACCUUAAUCGACGCUGAUGCACGAAAGCAUGGGGAGCAAACAGGAUUAGAAACCCCAGUAGUCC
rnacentral:rRNA from 1 species